GAAGAACUNCGAUUGCGAAGGCAGCUUGCUGGACUGUAACUGACGCUGAGGCACGAAAGCGUGGGGAUCAAACAGGAUUAGAUACCCUGGUAGNCCACGCCGUAAACGAUGANUGCUAGCUGUUAGCGAUAUACUGUUAGCGGCACAGAGAAAUCGUUAAGCAUUCCACCUGGGGAGUACGCCGGCAACGGUGAAACUCAAAGGAAUUGACGGGGGCCCGCACAAGCGGAGGAACAUGUGGUUUAAUUCGAUGAUACGCGAGGAACCUUACCUGGGCUUAAAUUGCAGUGGAAUAACGUGGAAACAUGUUAGCCCUCGGGCCGCUGUGAAGGUGCUGCAUGGUUGUCGUCGGCUCGUGCCGUGAGGUGUCGGCUUAAGUGCCAUAACGAGCGCAACCCUCAUCGAUAGUUACUAACAGGUUAAGCUGAGGACUCUAUCGAGACUGCCGACGUAAGUCGUGAGGAAGGUGGGGAUGACGUCAAAUCAGCACGGCCCUUACGUCCAGGGCUACACACGUGUUACAAUGGGGGGUACAAAGGGCAGCUACCUGGCGACAGGAUGCUAAUCUCUAAAACCUCUCUCAGUUCGGAUUGGAGUCUGCAACCCGACUCCAUGAAGCUGGAUUCGCUAGUAAUCGCGCAUCAGCCACGGCGCGGUGAAUACGUUCCCGGGCCUUGUACACACCGCCCGUCAAGCCAUGGGAGCCGGGGGGACCUGAAGUAUGCAACCGUAAGGAGCGUCCUAGGGUAAAACUGGUGACUGGGGCU
rnacentral:rRNA from 1 species